GCUCAUGCAGCCUGUUUACUGAAUUAUUCAGACAAAGAGACUGAACUUCAUCUGGUAUGCCUGUAGUAAACAUGGAAGGUGACCAAAGAAUCAAUUGAUUAGAAAAGAAAUGUCCUAUUUGGCUGAGGACAGAAAAAAGUCUGGUGUAGGAGGGGAGACCUUUUAUGCUUACAUUCUUGUUAAUUGUUUAAUUGUUCCCUGUCCUGUCCUGUC